rnacentral:rRNA from 1 species
UACGUAGGGGGCAAGCGUUGUCCGGAAUCAUUGGGCGUAAAGGGCGUGUAGGCGGCUCGAUAAGUCUGCUGUGAAAGUCCAGGGCUCAACCCUGGAAGGCCGGUGGAAACUGUCGGGCUAGAGUCCGGAAGAGGCGAGUGGAACUCCUGGUGUAGCGGUGGAAUGCGCAGAUAUCAGGAAGAACACCAACGGCGAAGGCAGCUCGCUGGGACGGUACUGACGCUGAGACGCGAAAGCGUGGGGAGCGAACAGG